rnacentral:lncRNA from 1 species
AGACCGCGCGGGAGAGAGGACCGCGCGAGCAGGGGCGAGGGGCAGCACGGCCGAGCCCGGCCGCGCGGAGCCGCCCCCGCCGCUGCCCACCUGCCCCGCCCGGGCUCCACACGGCGCGGGCGGCUGGGCUCGCUCCCGGCCCGCAGUCCCGGCCGCUGCCCCCGCCCUCCCGGCAGCCCGACCCCCUCCCUCCUUCCCUUUCCCCUCCUCCCGUCUUCCCGCCGCCCGGGGAGGCUUCGGGGCUCCGGCCCCGCCGGCACCUUCUCUGCGAGCGAGCGCCCGCCUGCGCGCCCCGGGGGAGGGAGCGAGGGCUGCGAGCUGCGCGCCCGGCCGGGGAGGGCAGCGUCCUCCCCCGCGCCGGCGCCCGGGCCCCGGCUGCUGUCCCGGGAAGGCGGCCCCGCGAGCCGCCGCGGCCCGCUGGGGCUCGGGACUAGACGAGCCUCCGGCUCCGACAGCGUGCCCGUUCAGAAGCCCGCGCGGCUGGUCCCCAGCCCCGACCGGUCCCGCUCUGCCCCUCCCCGUCCCUGCCGGGCCCGGACCUGCGCCGCCCGCGAGGGCUGGAAGGCACUGGAAGCGCCGCCGGGGCUGCCCAGAGGCCGGGUCCCCGCUCCACUUUGCGCAAACUUGUUUUUCUAAGGUCAGCGCUGCGAGCUGGCUACAUCGUCCUCUUAAGGUGGACCGGGGAAGUUGCGGCCGACCUCCCCUCGCCUCCGGACUCCGGCCGCGCGGCUGCUCCCCGCUUCCCACUGGCGAGAGGCUGGAGGCGGCGAAGGAGUCGGGGCGCGGGGGCGCGGGGGGCGGGGGGGCGUCUGCCUUUUAACCCUCCCCAGGAGGUCGUGCCUCUGAGCCCCAAAGCUGAAGGCCCCUCUUGGGGGUGGGUGCGGGCCGGAGGGGCCCGAUCCUUUCAGAGCCGGGCCGAGGUGAAGGAAAAGAAGGAAGUCCUUUGAGAUACAUUAUCUCACUGAAGCCUCAGCAACUCCGCGGUGUUCCCAGAGGUGAGGAAACACACUGAGAGACAGAACACGACUUGACCAGGGCCACCCUGUGGGGCACGCUGGCACCUGCACAGCCCAGCUUCACCUGGUUCCAGCCCUGCCCGCGCUCUGCUCCCCACUUCCCGUAACCCUGGGCUGGCGUCAGCAGGCAGGCCUGCCAGGAGGCUGGAGCUGCCAACGACCUAUUUUUCUGGGCAAGAAGAGCCAUUUGGAGUUAGAGGUCUCAGCUGUGAAGCCAGAACAAUAAAAAUAAAAACAGCACGGACUCCUGGGCAGCCUGGACCAGGGAACCAACUGCCCCAAGAGUUGCUGCUCACCAGGCUGGAAGAUGAGAAAACUGAGGUCCAGAUAAGCUGAGUCAUCCAAAGUCUCACAGCUACCAUGUGAACUGAGCCAGGAUUUGAACCCAGGCAUUCUGCCUCCAGAGCCCAGGCUGUUAACUGCUGCAUCAUGCUGGACAUGCUGCACCUGCCCCCAUUCCUACCCCAGGGGACCUCCUGUGUGCCAUGACGCUUCACAAUCAGAACCUCGCUUAAGCCUCAUGACAACUUUAUGCAUCUGGUCAUUUUGCAAAUCCAAUCAAUCAAUACGGAGCACUUGCUAUGUUCCUGAUGCUAAACUAGAUACCAGGGACACGGUGCAGAGGAUGAAGACAGAUAAGGACCCAUCUCUUGGGGAACUUACCGUCUAGAGAGAGAAGACAGCCAGACGAGGAGAGAGGCAAUCGUGGGCAGUGCAGGAGAACAGGAAACACAGGGGGCUUUGCAAGCACAGAAUAGGGACUCAGUAAAUAUUCGUGGUUGAAUGGAAAGCUCUUAGGAUAAUGGCUCUCAGGUAGCUCUCCAAUGUGCCAGCCUAUUGUGUUAGUUAGGGCAGGAUAACUGCUGUUACAGACAACCCCCAAAUCUCAGUGACUCAUAAUCUGUUUACUUGUCACUCAGGUCACAGUCCAGUGUAGGUCAACUCCUCAUGGUCACUCAGAGACCCAGGUCCUUCCAUCCAGGGGAGGGGAUCUUGAUUUCUUUUUUGAUCUUCUGCAUCCCCCGGCAGAGGAGAGGAAAAGACAGGGUGUGGAGGAGCAUGGGGGAGGUUUUAUGGGCAGGCCUGGAAGGGAUUCAUGGCCAAUUCACCUGGUCUUGUGUGGGGGUGUAGGUAGUGACCUAGGAGUGAAGGAAGGAGCAGUGUCAUGCCCAGCAGUUCCCCCAGGUGAAUUCAAUGGAGGAGAGGUGAUUUUCCUAAACAAUGAGGGUUACUUAGGAAGGGGGCAUGGAUUCUGGGUGGUCACAGCCUUCUAACCGGUAUAUAUUCACUGCAGUAUGCUAGUCAGGAUUCUUUUAGCUUCAACUGAUAAAAACCCAACUCAAACUACUUAAGGAAAAGAGGGAAUGUAUUGGUUCUGGUCUAGGAAGGUGGUUUCAGGAAUGGCUGGAUACAGGAACUCAACAGGGUCAUCUUUUCUGGUUGGCUUUAGCCUCCAGGCAGGCUGUCAAUGUGUGGUAGGGAAGCAGGCCACCAGCAGGUACACCCAAACAUGUAUGCAACAAGCCCAGCAAGGCUGGCAGGAGCGAGGCAUAUGUAUCAUUUAUCUGUGUACAUCUAUAAUAUGUAUGUCAUAUAUCAUGUAUCCUCUCUAUAUAUCAUAUAUCCAUGUACAUAUCACAUAUGUCAUAUAUUGUAUAUCCUAUAUAUAUCAUAUAUAUGUCAUAUAUCCUCUAUACACAUCAUACAUCCAUGUAUAUAUAUCUAUCAUAUACAUGUCAUAUACCUACAUAUAUUAUGUAUCCAUAUCUAUGCCACAUACUCAUCCCAGAAAAUCACUUUGGUCCUGAAUGGGACCCAUGACCACUCUUGUUUUGGUGAUCUUGAUGGAAACCCCAAGUUUACAUGGUGUGGAGGAGGGACCAUUUUCCGAAAAAGGGACUCAGACAGACAAUACCGUCAAGUUCGCUACAGGAGAGAUUACUAGAUCUUUCCAAGAACAUUGGGUCUAUCUCACAGUCCUAGGUGUCAAAAGGAAAAGAGAAAAGCAAGGUGUCAAAAGGAAAAAAGAGGAAACUUGAGAAAAAUAGGUGUCUAAUCUCUUUGUUAAUAGCCAAUUUCUAGGAGCCAGGUAUGGACUAUGUGAUUUUUAUGGCAUCUACAUAUAAUGUUGCUUUCUUCCUCACUUAAGUUCAGAAGCAGUAGGAGACCGAGGAGUCAAGAGGUGAGGAACAAAAUGUCAGCUUAUUACAGAUAAAGCUGUUUAGAGAACGUGGCUUGGGCAUGCAGGCAAAUGGAACUGCUAACACUGAUCCUCAGAGUUGGACAGCCUUACCUUUGCAAUCACAGGUAGAUGGAUAAACACAGACCUCUCCCCUCUGACUCCUGGGACAGAACAUGUCUUCACAGGUAGCUGAUCCCAGGUUGAGAGAGGGCUCCCCUCUUCAUACUCACCAAUCAUUCAGUCCAGGUUUGUUGCUCUGAUGGAGGCCACCCCAACCCCCAGCCCCUUUUCAAAUGUGCACCACAGUAGGGAAUGAGGCCAGGACCUGAGACCUGGCUGCCUGGUGGGUAGACCCUGGAAUGUACAAGCAAACAGCCCCUAAUGCCAGGAGCUCCUGGUUCCCGAGGAAACAGAUGAAAUUUGUGAUGGGCAGAGAGUCAGAGAAAGAAGCAUUCUUGUUUUCCUUUAUUUUUUCAAAAAUGACUAUUCGAAUAAUACAAUCCACUGUGAAAAUUUUAAAAGGAAAAAAAAGCCAGGAAAGAAUUGUAAAACUGCAAGCCACCUUCAAUUCCAUCAUCUGGUGUUAACUAUCAUUACAUGUUGGUGUAUAUCCCUUGGGCCUUUGUGAGUGUGUGUGUUUAAACAAAAUUAGAAUCUUGCUCUAUGCAUAAUUUUUUAUCUGGCUCUCUUUAACAUUCUAUAUAAAGCAUUUCAGCAUGUCCACAAGGCUGGAGGCAGCACGAGGGCAGGAACCAAGUCUGCUUGAUGAUUGCUGUCUCCCCAGGGCCUCCCAUGUGGACCAUGCUAAAAAACAAUAUUGCAGAAAAGAACGAUAUUCACAGGUAAUAUUGAUUAGGUGACUUCUAGGCAUCACCAUGCAUCAUCGAAUUACAUUCUUACAAGAUAAUGCAAUGGGCACCUCUAUGAACCAUACCUUGUAGAAGAGGAAACUGAGGCCAGGGGAGGUGAAGUAGCUCACACAAGGUCACCAUCAAUGUUAUAUCCCUGCAUGAACACAUCCUGUAUGUGCAUCUUCCUACUUGACACAUUUUCUUCUUGCCACUUUCCAGUUUUAAUCAGGGAUAGAGGGAAGCUCUGUUUACUUGAGAGAGGACUCUUUAUUUGGAAAGAAGGUCUAUCCCAUUAUGAGAGGGGGAUGUGCUGAGGACUGUCACCCAGCCUUUGAGCCCCAUUGGGAUUCUUUUUUUUUUUCUUAAUUUUUCUUAAGACAAGGUUUUGCUCUGUCACCCAGGCUGGAGUGCAGUGGUGGGAUCUUAGCUUACUGCAACCUCAAACUCCUGGCCUUAAGUGAUCCUCCUCCCUCAGCCUCCUUGCAGCAGGAGCCACAGCAUCCCACUGGGACCCUUAAGCAGCCUGGGCACAGGAUGGUGAUGGGUCUGUCCUCACUUGGGCCCUGUUGCCCAUGACCCACCUGUCCCAGCUGUGUGUGUCAGUGCGUCUGCCUCUCUGCCAGAUGUUGGAGUCUCCCAGUAUGCCCACUGACUAUCUUUCAGAAUUCCACAGGGGCAGAUGCUCUUAAUGCCCCACCUGAGUCCCCUUGGCAUUUCUUUUCUGUUUCAGGACACAUGGGCCCUGUGUCUGGCUGCUGGCACAUGAGUCUCUGCUUGAGGGUUUAUCUGGCACUGGACCCUGCUCACCAGGAAUUGAUGCCUCCUGGGAGUAGCCUCCAACCAAUUACUCUAGGAAUUGGCAUUGAGAUCCUCCAGCCUCCUACCCUUGAAGUGGGCAACUCUGAGGCACUCUCGGUGCCGUCUCGCAGAACUCCCAGGAGGACUGAGCUCCCGUGGCCCACGGUGCUAACUGGCUUUCUAAUAAACACUUUAUGAGCCUUCUUCCCUUCCCUGUCUCACUUCCCUCUCCCUCCUCCCCAUAUCAGUGCUUCCUGGGGUCACAUCUCAAAUAAGAUUGGAUCCUUGGCUCAAGGUUUGCUUCUUAGGGAACCCAAACCGACACUUUUUCACUCUUUUCUUCCCUGCAGCCACCACCCACCUGAAUUCCCCCACAGGCUUCGUCUGCAUUCUUUGCCCUCUAAUCCAUUGGCCACACUUGUCCUCAGAGUGGCCUUUUAUGUUUUGCCCUACUCCCUAUGUGGCUGAUUUCCCCUGGCCUCCAAGCUGAAGUCAGCCCAGCAUUCAAGGCUCUGUAUGUUUCUCCCUUGUCAACCUCUCCAGUAUCUUUUUGAAGUAUGACUCAUCCUAUGCUUAGGCCAUACUGACCUAUGUCAUCUGUUUCUGCCUUUGCACGUGCUGUUCCACCUGCCUGAUGUGCCCUUCCCUAUGCUGGUCAUUCAGAAAACUUCUACUCAUCCAGCAAGACCCAUCUCAGAAGUCACCUUCUCUGUGAAGCCUACCUAGAUCAUCCUAGAUAUUGACAGCCUCUCCCUUCUUUUGUGCCCCAUUUGUAUAUUAUUUUUCCCUUGUAUACAAUACUUAUAUUACUUUAUUGUAAUUAUGUGUUUGUAUUCUGUCUCCCCAACAGGACUGUGAGCUCCUUAAGGGCAGGAUCAGUCCUAUUCUCUCUCACCCCAGGGCCUGCCUAGCACUGACUCUGGGACAAAUUAGGUCCCCAAUGAAUACAGAUGUCCCUUGCUAUCCAAAUUUUCCUAUGUACUCAAAACCUAGAAACAAAAUAGGUUAAGACAACAUGGCAUCCCACAUGAUUCUGAGUCCAUUGUCCAAUACCCGCUACCUGAAUUUAGGAGUUCUAUGGAUUUGGAUGGCAAGAGAUACUUGUGUAUGAAUGAAUUAAUUACUUAAUGAAUGAGGGCAUUCAAAGCUGAGAGCGUUCAUCAACUCUGGGCACAGACCUGCGUGAAGUUGGUGGAGAGGAGGGAAGGAGGGAACAUGGAGAUGCCAAGCCAGAGCCAAGAAAGUUGUUUUGCUUUGGAAUAUAUUAUUUUUGCAGGUUGCUAUAGUUACCGCUGUGAAAUUAAAAAUUAAAACCUUGUGAAAGAGAGAGGGUUGACUGAGAUGAGGCAGUUCCUUGACAGGCUGAGUUAUUUAUCUUUUCCCCAUGUAACAUCUGGUUAUGUGCUUGCAAAUUUAUUUUUAAUUCAGAGCUCUAAAAAGGAUUUCGUGGCAGUGCGAGGUGCCUGGAUGAUUGGCUUGGGAGGGAAAGGUUAGAGGGUGGUAUUUGGGGCCUGCUGGUGACCCCCAGCUUCUCUCCUGGCCCUUGCUCCUGCUUCUCACACAACCUCUAGGAAUCAAGGGGUAGCUCGAAUGUGUCUGGACCCCCUGCCAAUCAAGCAGCAGCCGUAACCAUGGUUCCCAGAUGCAGAGCCAGGAUGGAGGCUGCUGUCUGGUUCCUGUGGUUCUUUGAGUGUGAGGACAAGCAUGGCUGGGAGUGGGGAAGGUUUCGAGUUCCUAUCUCUCCAGUCUGUCUCCUAACUUGUGUGUCUCUGAGUGUCUCCUGGGAUCUUUCUGGACCCCUCAUUCUGCCUUCCAGAAAGACAACAACUGUGGUUUAGGGGAGGCACCACUGGCCAGAGUUAAGAGAUGUGGGAUCUGGGUCCAGCCCAGCCACUGCUGGCUGUGUGACCCGGGGAAAUCACCUUCCCUCUCUGGUCCCUGUUCUCUCCAUUCUUCAGAGACUGGUUGGAGGCUGCAGUCACGCAUUGGAUCCCUACUGUAGGAAUCUAAGUGAGCCUAAGGAGGUGCCAGCCAUCACUGGAGCCUAUUUUUGUGCUUUCGCCUGACUGCCCAAGGUGACAAGUUGGGAACCUGGGACAGGCUGCCCCAUGGGUUCCUUUACCCUACCAAGCUUCUUCCUUCCUCGUACCUUUGCACUCUGUGUUUUCUGCCUGGAGCUUUCUUCCCCUAGAUGUUCACAGGACUCCCUUCUCCGUCCCACCCAGUCUUAUACGUCACCUCCUCAGCAGGGACUCUCCGCCCAGCCAGUCUGGAAUGGCCUCGUCCUGCCUCCCCCACCUUGAAGCCUCUGCUUUUCUCUUCCAGCAUCUGCGCUGCCUGAUUUGCUGAGCACCUACUAUGCAUCAGACGCUGUGUUCUAGGCAAGGGGGAUACACCUGAUGGAAGAAGGUCCUUCCCUAGACGUAGCUAACAUCCCAGUGUGGGAGAUGACACGAAACAAGUAUGGUGGAAAUGAUGUCACGCCCACUCCAGGCCUAACCUCUAGGAGGACUGGCAGUUUCUGCUAUGGCCUCUGGGAGCCAUGAGCUGCCAUGAAAAAGGUCAAACUACUCUGCUGGAGACACCCACCUGGAGAAGCCCUGGGAUUCCAUGGAGAGGCAGACGGACCCAGCUGAGCUCAGUGUUCCAGCCAUCCCCACGAAAGCACCAGGAACCUGAGUGAAACCAUCUCGAUCCUCCAGCAUAGCACAAUCAGCAGCUGAAGAUCACUGAGUGACUCUAGUCGGCGCUCCAUGGAUCACUGAAGGAUCACCCAGCUGAGCCCUGCGCAAAUUUCUGACUCACAAAACUGUAGACGAUACAAUGGUUGUUGUUUGGGGGCAGUUUGUUAUGCUGUAGCAAUAAAUAGCCAGAAGAGACCAAGAGGCAGAAGUUGUUUGCUGAAAAUAAUGCAAAAAUUAUACCAGCCCUUGCCCAGCUACCUCCGGAUUUCUUGCUACAUGAAAAAAAAAAAAAAAAUCCCUAUUUGUUUAAGCCUCGUUGACACCUUGGGCUAUUGCUCAGUCCUCAGUUUUCCAUUUGUUAAAUGGAGCAUUAGCUCCUGUCUUACUACUUCCCAAAGGUGCCUGAGAGGGUAGAGUAAGAAUGAAGAAGAGAAGGCCUUUUUCAUGUAAUAUAAACAGUGCUUAUGUUCCCAAAGAUCAGCGAGUGACAUGCUCAAACAGUUAUAAUAUAUUUAAUGUGGUCAUAAUGGGAGUGAACUUGUCAUGAACCAAUUGCAAUGGAUUUUGGAAUCAGACACGUUAGGGCUUGAGGCUCUCAGCUCUGCUAGACAAACUUCUAACUUGACAAAUAGGCCAGUCAUUAAAUCUCUCCAAGCCUUAGUUCCCUCAUCAAUAAAGCACAGACGAUGUGAUUUCCCUCCGUUGAGUCUGUGUGAGGAUUAAAUUAAAUGAGAUUCAUCCAUCUAUUUGAUAAAUAUUGAAUAUCUCCUAGGGUCUAGGCCAAACACACUCUUGAUAUUGGUGGAGGCUGGUGUCCACUCACCCUUAAAUCUAAAUAUUUAAAAAUUAUAAAUCAGACCAAUACCUUCUCUUAAAUGUUCUAUCCUUCUCCUCAGUAAGUAUAACUUCUCAGCAGCCUGAAAGGCCAGGAUUGAUUUGGAUUUCUUAGAUACUCGCACUGAAAUGUGGCGGUGCUGGGGAGAGCCAGCCCCAUUCCCUGGUCGCUCAUUUCCCAGCCUAUAAACUGCCACCUUCCCUUCUCAUCCCCAGCUCCAUCCUGUACCGUGCACACCUCACCUGCAUGUGUGUAGACAUCCCAGGCUGCAGGUCCAAUCUCCAUCCACACCCUAUCCUCUGCAGUGCCCCUUGGCUACACCCUGGGCUUAGUGUUCUGCCUCCAGACAAUAGACCAGGAAGAGGCCUGGCAGCAGGCUUGGGACUUUUAGGUAGGGAGCUCAGGAAUCCUAGGAAUCUGUAGUAUUCUAGACAAGGAGCAAAGACUUGGAUGGGUAUAUCCCCUUGGCACUGCAGACUCUCUAGCCUGUGGGGAUGUACGCAGCUGGAGGCUGGCCAGGGCAGAGCCCCGCUUGCCUGGGUCCAAGGAUGGGCUGGUCAGCCUGUGCUAGGUGCUGCAGGUACAUGAGUAGAUGAAGCAGAUACCACCCCUGCUUCUCCUACUCAAAGGUGAAGACACAUCCCUGAAGUCAGGGCCUCAGUCUUAGCCCUAUCUAUAAGAUGAGGGCUUACCUGAUCUGACAUCAGGUAAUGUUGGAGACUUGGUGUACGUCCUCAGGAAUGUCCUAGAAGCCAGGAGGUCAGAUGAGGAGGGGCAAGCUUAAGGCCUAAGCAAUCAACUUCCUCCUUGAACCUAAGGCUGGCAAGGCAGGAAGGGCACCCACCCUCUGGUCCAACUCCAUCCACGCAACUCCUUCAGUGGCCAUAACAACACAACUUCCCAUCACACCUAGAAUAAAAGUCCAGCUCCUUGCCGAGACCUGCAAAGCCUGCUACCCCCAGCUGCUGACCAUCUCCAGUCUCCUUACUACUGCUCACUGAGUUCCAUCCUUAUGUUCAUGAAACCCCACAUCUACUCUCCCACCUCAAGGCCUUUGCCCUUGCUGUUUUCUCUGCUGGACACGCCCAGCUCUUUGCAUGGCUAGUUCCUCUCACUGUGCAGGCCUCAGCUUACUCUCUUGCACAGAGACGUCCAUUGACAUCCUUUUAGGAGCAGCUCCUGUCUAGCCCCAGCUCUCUCUUGGGCGUGUCACCACUUUACAUCCUUCCUAGUACAGCCAAAACUGGUGUAAUGGAGUGUGCAAAAGCUUCCACUUGGGGCUGGACUGGCUGGGUCGAAACCCAGGCUGGGCCCAAUAUUCUCAAGUGCCGAGCCUACCUACUGCGCACUUGAGGCUAUUGUUCAACCUGGUUCCCCACAUAUCGUGCAACCUGUUGUUUCUCCACCUAUCGUGCAACCUGUUUCUCCACAUAUUGUUCAACUUCCUAUUUCCCUUCAAUAGAUUAUUCAACCAGCAUUUUCCUAUCUGUACAAGGGAGUGAGGAUUACAUGACCUAAUGUGCAUAUAGCAUAGAGCAGAGCCUGGCAUAAGCGCUGCAUUGGUGUUUGCUACGAUAUUAACACUUGUUGCUAUUUGAAAUUAUUUUGUCUGUAUGUUUCUUGUUUAUUUCCCUCUUCUCUCUGACAGGCAAACUCCCCACAACAGCCUCCUCAACGCUGCCUCCCACAGUGCUUGGACAAAAUAAUUACAGCAAGAUGCGGGCACUGAGCUGACUCCUUAUGUAGGACAUCCCAGUGCAGGUAGAGAAACUGAGGGACAGUUGGAGGUUCCUUGCCCUUGGUGAUGCGGUGAGAGGGCCUGCAGGCACCAGCCCGGCCGCCCGCACCGCUUCUCGCGGACCCCAGCGGAGCCGCGCUUCUCGUGCCGCUCCUGAGGGUUUCCGCGGCGCCGGCGUUUUUGUUCCCGGCGCGUUUAAGUCGUUGAGGCCGAAUCAAGCGAAGGCGGAAAAGCGGCGCGCAGCCCGCGUCAGCUGCAGUUCCGUCCCCCUGGUUCCCGGUGCGCUAACAAAGGCAUUUGCAUGAAAACAGGAACCCCGUCUGCAGAAAGGACUCGUUGGCGGGGUGCAUCGUGCGCUCCAGUGCCCCUACCGCGGCGCCCCGCUCCCCAGGUGGGGAAGAAGCGGGGUGCGGGGACUGGCCCCAAACACGGCUCGGCCGGCGGGGACCGGCACGCUGCGGCCCGGGCGACCCCCUUCUCCGCCCCUUUCCCAGGCCGGCGGAAACGGCCGUCUCGGGCGUGGGCGCGCUUCUGCGGACUCCUCGGGACCUUUUACCCAGGCGUGCGGCCGGGGCGCCCGGGGCCUCGGGGAGCCGGCGCCAGCGUGCGGAGCGCAGCGGAGCGGAGGGAGCGGCGGGAGCGGCGUCCGUGGCUGGUCCAGGUCUGGGGCGCAGCCUCCAGGCUCGCCCUGCGCCGCUCUGGGCCUCGGCCUCUUCGCCUGUUCGACCGGGGCGCAAGCGUGUCACAGCGCCUGUCUGCAGGGGGAAGCGGGCUUCCCAGAGGGGCGCGUGGCUCGCAGAGGGGCUCCGGGAAUAUCCGCUCCGUUGGCCCUUUCCAGAGCUUUUCCUUAGCUGCUUCUCCUUUGAAAUCCGCCUUUUUCCCAGCAGCCCUUGGAGGCAGGAUAAAUUAAGUGGUAAAAGCAGAGGAUUAGGAACCGGGAACCCUGGAUUCAAAUCCUGCCCGCCGCUGACCAGCUUUGUAACCAUGAGCAGGUUACUCCGCCUCUGGAGGCCUCAGCUUCCCCGUCUGUAAAAUGGGGCCUAACACAGUCCAGAAAGUGCUUAGUGCCGCAGUGUCACACACCGAGUGCUUAAUUCAUUCUUAAAAUUAUCACUUCCAGCUGUGGGACAGGCGCAGGGUAGAAAGGGGUUUUCUUAAGGUCACAGGCGGGGUCAAAGGCAAACCCUCCGGGUCCUCACAAGUAAGACUUGCGAAGCAGCAAGUUCCCCAAAGGGUCUUAUCCAGCCGGGUAAGGAGCGCCGGGGCAUCUCCCCCCUCUCUCUCCGCGAAGACGCACAAGCAAUGGCUGGCGAACCUACUGCCUGGAAUGGGGUUCUUGGGUCGAGACCUUUAAAAAAAUAAAGAAGAGGAAGAAGAAAGAAAGAAAACAAACAAACAUGCACGCAAAAACGGAAUGCCAGAGCCUUUGAUCUAGGAGCCAGCUUGCUAUUCAGGGCCGACCACCGUCUCGCCGCAGUUCCUCCCCGGGAAGGAAGCCUCGCGCUGCCCUCCGGUGGCAGGCGAGGUAGUGUCGCCUGGGCGCAACUCACAAGCAGGGGUUUACCGGAGAAGCCAGCUUCGCUCUGCGCGGGUGGGGGCUGUGGGGGAGAGAGGAGGGAAAAUCGGAAUUGUUCCCUGACUGCUGUUUUUUGGUCCCGGUGGAUCUUGGGAGUCUUGGAAAGAGAAUAAUAAGGCUCUCUGCAUUUGAAAGGCAUAGGAGUUUUUACAUUCUGGUUUUAUUUAUUUUUGAAUGGAUAACACAUUUACACGAUUCAAAAGAUAAAAAAGAGGAUAGCGUGAAAAGGAAGUCUCGCUUCCACUCUUGUUCCCCAGGCACCCAGUUCCCCUUCCUAGAGACAGCCAUUGUUACAUGUUUCUGUGUACCCACCCGGAGACAGUCCAUGCAAAUGCAAGUAUUUUACAGGAUCAAUAGUAGCUUGCUCUGUAUACUCUUCUGCCUCUUGCUGCUUCGCUUAAAAAUGCAUCAUGGAGUUUGUUCCAUGUUGAUUCACAUAGGGCUGCCUCGUUCUUUUGAACAGCUGCAUAAUAUUCCAUUGUUUGGCUCUCCUGUAAUUAUUUGAUCAGUGUUCUAUUGAUGAGCCUUGAGGCUGCUUCUAAUCUUCUGUAAUCACAGUGUGUUACAACAAAUAAGCACCUACAUGCAUUGUUAUGCCUAGGUGCCAGUGAGGCACAUAGCUAUUGCGGUAUAACAAACCACUCCGAAAUUCAGUGGCUUUAAAUAGAAAGCUUUUGGUAUUGCUCAUGUGGGUCAGCUGGGUAGCACUGCUGAUCUGGGCCAAGCUCAGCUAACUUUGCAUUUGCUCCUUGUGUCUGGGAUCAGAAAGGGUGGGUCAGCUGGGGCUGGUUUAUUUAGGAUGGUCUAAAUCACAUGUCUGGUAGUUGACUGGCUAUCAGCUAGGGUUAGAGGGGUGUUCAGGCUAUGUGUCCGUCAACAUCUGAUAACAUGCAGUGCCUCCUGAGACUGUAUAACUGGUGUGAAUUUACAUCCAUUACAUUCUGUUGGUGCAAACAUGUCACAAGCCAGCCCAG